GUAUAGUUCAGUGGCAGAAUGCUUGCCUAGCAUGCAUGAGACCCUGGGUUCAAUACCCACUAC
rnacentral:tRNA from 1 species